rnacentral:rRNA from 1 species
UACGGAGGGUGCAAGCGUUAUCCGGAUUCACUGGGUUUAAAGGGUGCGUAGGUGGAUCGGUAAGUCCGUGGUGAAAUCCCUGAGCUUAACUCAGGAACUGCCGUGGAUACUAUCGAUCUUGAAUGCCGUGGAGGUAAGCGGAAUAUGUCAUGUAGCGGUGAAAUGCUUAGAUAUCAUUUGGAACGCCAAUGGUGAAAACAGCUCGCUGGGAAUGAUCUGACGCUGAGACGCGAAAGCCAGGGGAGCGAACGGG